CGAACGGGUGAGUAACACGUGAGCAACCUACCUCUAUGUGGGGAACAACAUCUGGAAACGGAUGCUAAUACCGCAUAAUAUCAUCGGGCGACAUCGCUUGAUGGUCAAAGCAGCAAUGCGCAAAGAGAUGGGCUCGCGUCUGAUUAGCUAGUUGGUGAGGUAACGGCCCACCAAGGCGACGAUCAGUAGCCGGACUGAGAGGUUGAUCGGCCACAUUGGGACUGAGACACGGCCCAGACUCCUACGGGAGGCAGCAGUUGGGAAUAUUGCACAAUGGACGAAAGUCUGAUGCAGCGACGCCGCGUGAGGGAAGAAGGUAUUCGUAUUGUAAACCUCUGUCUUCGGGGACGAUAAUGACGGUACCCGAGGAGGAAGCCACGGCUAACUACGUGCCAGCAGCCGCGGUAAAACGUAGGUGGCAAGCGUUGUCCGGAAUUACUGGGUGUAAAGGGAGCGCAGGCGGAAAGGUAAGUUGAAUGUGAAAUCUAUGGGCUCAACCCAUAAAUUGCGUUCAAAACUAUCUUUCUUGAGUAAUGUAGAGGCAAGCGGAAUUCCAGGUGUAGCGGUGGAAUGCGUAGAUAUCUGGAGGAACACCGGUGGCGAAGGCGGCUUGCUGGGCAUUUACUGACGCUGAGGCUCGAAAGCAUGGGGAGCAAACAGGAUUAGAUACCCUGGUAGUCCAUGCCCUAAACGAUGAUUACUAGGUGUGGGGAGUUAACCCUUUCCGUGCCGCAGCUAACGCAAUAAGUAAUCCACCUGGGGAGUACGGCCGCAAGGCUGAACUCAAAGGAAUUGACGGGGCCCCGCACAAGCAGUGGAGUAUGUGGUUUAAUUCGAAG
rnacentral:rRNA from 1 species